rnacentral:tRNA from 1 species
GGAGAGUACAACUCAAUGGUAGAGUAUAUGCCUAGCAUGCAUGAGGUCCCGGGUUCAACCCCAGUACCUCCA